UACAGAGGGGGCAAGCGUUGUUCGGAAUUACUGGGCGUAAAGGGCGCGUAGGCGGGUUGGUAAGUCCGCUGUGAAAGCCCGGAGCUCAACUCCGGAGGGUCGGUGGAUACUGCCAGUCUUGAAGGUGCUAGGGGGAGAUGGAAUUACCGGUGUAGCGGUGAAAUGCGUAGAUAUCGGGAGGAACACCAGUGGCGAAGGCGAGUCUCUGGGAUGAUGCUGACGCUGAGGCGCGAAAGCCAGGGGAGCAAACGGG
rnacentral:rRNA from 1 species